AUGGGGGACAGAAAAGAGGUAGCAACCCCCCCAUCACAUCCAUUUCCACAGCACACGAGGAGCUCGGGGGGGACCCCGCCGAGAGCUCGCUCCAAACAGCUGAAGGGGCCCCCCGGGAACAACAGCAACUUACCUGAGAGCCUCGGUGCCAGAACAGCGCCCGGCCCUGACACCCGGCCACGAGCACUGAGCUCCAACGCUUCCCAGCCGAAAGUACGGCGAGGAUUUACGCCCACCGCACGACAGAAAACACGGGGCCACAGAAACCCCCCGAGCACCCCCCUCAGCACCCCGGGCCCCCCCGGAGCUCCCCCAGUAGCCCCCCGGCUCCCCGUGGCCCGGCCCUGGAGGCGGGGGGGGGGGUUCCAGGGCCGCGUGUCCAGGCGAAGGCUCCGCCGCUGCGGGCCCGGGUCCCCUCCCCGCGCUCCCGGGGCACCCGCGGCCAUGGCGGCGCCGGGCCCCGCUCACCUGUUGCUGCUCCGCCUCAACGGGGCGCCGGGCCGGGCAGAGCCGGUGCUCCGCCGGCUGCUCCCGGUGGCGGGGACCCGGCGGGGACCAGGAGGGCGCGGCCGGGGCUCGCCCUGGAGGCCGGAGACCCGCGGCCGGGCCGGUCCCGGGGGCAGCGAGCGGGGAAGCGGCCCGGCGCCCCGACGGCUCCCAGCCCGGUCUCGGUGCCGGCCCCGGCCCCGGCCCCGCUCCCCGCCUCGCUCCGCUCCCAGCCCCUGCCCCGAUCUCGCUCCCGGUUCCGUUCCCGGCCUCCCGCCUCCCCCCGUCCACCCCGCACUCACCGGGCCGGGCCGGGCCCUGCGCCGCCGGGCCGGGGCCGGGGCCGGGGCCGGGGCCGGGGCCGGGGCUGCUGCCGCCGCCGCCGCCGCCACCCCGGGGCCGGGCCUGGGCCAGCGCGGGCCGCCCAGGCGGGGCGGCGGAGCGGGAGGGGGCCGCGGGGCGAGCGGCGCGGGGGAGGCGGGGAGGGACCGGAACGGGAAGGGAGGGGGAGGGGCGGGCGGAGGGGAGGAGGGAGGGGCAGGGCAGGGCAGGGCAGGGAAGGGAAGGAGGGCGGGCCCCUGGCGCGCUGCGUCACUGCUCCGUGCGUAUUGCGUCACCGCAGCGCGCCCGCCGGGCCGCCGUUGUCAUGGCAACCGGGGGACGGAGGCGCCCCCUGGUGCGGGGGAGGCCUGGAGGGGGCGGGGCCCUAGAGGAGGAGGGGGCGGGGCUCUGAGCCAGGGGCGGGGCUGCUCUGCUGGACUCCGCCCCCUCGCGCCCGGAGGCCCCGCCCCCCUCCGGGCUGGGGGCGGGCCCCACGCGAUGGCCGACCCCUCCUUCCCCCCCCCGGUGUACCCGGGGGUCUCAGUGCUACCCAGAGCCCCCCCGGCUGCCCAGGACCCGUCCUUCAGCUGCCCAGGAGUCCCCCUCCUCUGCCCACAGCUACCCUGUGAGGGCUCCCCCCAGCUUCCCAGGAGCCCCCACAUUGCUCAGUGUCACCCCAGCUGCCAACGACCCCCCCCAGCUGCCCAAGAGCCCCCCCCACGUCUGCCCUGA
rnacentral:lncRNA from 1 species